rnacentral:rRNA from 1 species
AACGAACGCUGGCGGCAGGCUUAACACAUGCAAGUCGAACGCACCGCAAGGUGAGUGGCAGACGGGUGAGUAACACGUGGGGAUCUGCCCAAUGGUACGGAAUAGCUCCGGGAAACUGGAAUUAAUACCGUAUGAGCCCGCAAGGGGAAAGAUUUAUCGCAAUUGGAUGAACCCGCGUCGGAUUAGCUAGUUGGUGUGGUAAAAGCGCACCAAGGCGACGAUCCGUAGCUGGUCUGAGAGGAUGAUCAGCCACACUGGGACUGAGACACGGCCCAGACUCCUACGGGAGGCAGCAGUGGGGAAUAUUGGACAAUGGGCGCAAGCCUGAUCCAGCCAUGCCGCGUGAGUGAUGAAGGCCUUAGGGUUGUAAAGCUCUUUCGCCGACGAAGAUAAUGACGGUAGUCGGAGAAGAAGCCCCGGCUGACUUCGUGCCAGCCGCCGCCGUAAAAC